UCCUGGCUCAGGACGAACGCUGGCGGCGUGCCUAAUACAUGCAAGUCGUACGCUUCUUUUUCCACCGGAGCUUGCUCCACCGGAAAAAGAGGAGUGGCGAACGGGUGAGUAACACGUGGGUAACCUGCCCAUCAGAAGGGGAUAACACUUGGAAACAGGUGCUAAUACCGUAUAACAAUCGAAACCGCAUGGUUUUGAUUUGAAAGGCGCUUUCGGGUGUCGCUGAUGGAUGGACCCGCGGUGCAUUAGCUAGUUGGUGAGGUAACGGCUCACCAAGGCCACGAUGCAUAGCCGACCUGAGAGGGUGAUCGGCCACAUUGGGACUGAGACACGGCCCAAACUCCUACGGGAGGCAGCAGUAGGGAAUCUUCGGCAAUGGACGAAAGUCUGACCGAGCAACGCCGCGUGAGUGAAGAAGGUUUUCGGAUCGUAAAACUCUGUUGUUAGAGAAGAAGAAGGAUGAGAGUAACUGUUCAUCCCUUGACGGUAUCUAACCAGAAAGCCACGGCUAACUACGUGCCAGCAGCCG
rnacentral:rRNA from 1 species